rnacentral:rRNA from 1 species
AAACUUGUCAAUGAGGGAAACCUCGAACAGGGGACUCCAAGUGCAUGCGUUUUACGUAUGCUUUUCAGUUGUCUAAAACACAGCCGGAAUAAGGGCUGGGUAAGACAGGUGCCAGCCGCCCCGGUAAUACCUGCAGCCCAAGUGGUAAUCGUUAUUAUUGAGCCUAAAGCGUCCGUAGCCGGUCUGGUAAACCCUCGGGUAAAUCGAGCAGCUCAACUGUUCGAAUUCCGGGGGGACUGCCAGACUUGGAACCGGGAGAGGUCAGAGGUACUCCAGGGGUAGGGGCUAAAUCCUGUAAUCCUUGGAGGACCACCAGUGGCGAAGGCGUCUGACUAGAACGGAUUCCACGGUAAGGGACAAAACCCUGGGGCGCAAACCGGAUUAGAUACCCGGGUAG